UACGUAGGGUGCAAGCGUUGUCCGGAAUUAUUGGGCGUAAAGAGCUCGUAGGCAGUCUGUCGCGUCGGCUGUGAAAAUCCGGAGCUCAACUCCGGGCCUGCAGUCGAUACGGGCAGACUGGAGUUCGGCAGGGGAGACUGGAAUUCCUGGUGUAGCGGUGAAAUGCGCAGAUAUCAGGAGGAACACCGGUGGCGAAGGCGGGUCUCUGGGCCGAUACUGACGCUGAGGAGCGAAAGCGUGGGGAGCGAACAGG
rnacentral:rRNA from 1 species